rnacentral:rRNA from 1 species
GAUGAACGCUGGCGGCGUGCUUAACACAUGCAAGUCGAACGGAAAGGCCCAAGCUUGCUUGGGUACUCGAGUGGCGAACGGGUGAGUAACACGUGGGUGAUCUGCCCUGCACUUCGGGAUAAGCCUGGGAAACUGGGUCUAAUACCGGAUAGGACCACUUCUUGGAUGUUGUGGUGGAAAGUUUUUUCGGUGUGGGAUGAGCUCGCGGCCUAUCAGCUUGUUGGUGGGGUAAUGGCCUACCAAGGCGUCGACGGGUAGCCGGCCUGAGAGGGUGUACGGGCACAUUGGGACUGAGAUAAGGCCCAGACUCCUACGGGGGGGAGCAGGGGGGAAUAUUGCACAAUGGGCGCAAGCCUGAUGCAGCGACGCCGCGUGGGGGAUGACGGCCUUCGGGUUGUAAACUCCUUUCGCUAGGGACGAAGCGUUUUGUGACGGUACCUGGAGAAGAAGCACCGGCUAACUACGUG